CCCGCAACGGUGAGCUGGACCAAGUUUUUCUGCCCUCAGGCAAAUGGCCCCCACACUUAGUUGCGAUGUUGUGUUUGCAUAUUAUCCGGGUUGUGCCGGAUAGGUAGUCAAUCUACCAAUUUUACUUCCUGUAUUUUUGACCUGUCUGUCAAAAUCAUGCUUGGCACUGCGCUUUGUCGCGGUGCUUUUUUUU
rnacentral:other from 1 species